rnacentral:rRNA from 1 species
ACGGAAGGCAGCAGUGGGGAAUAUUGCACAAUGGGCGAAAGCCUGAUGCAGCGACGCCGCGUGAGUGAAGAAGUAUCUCAGUAUGUAAAGCUCUAUCAGCAGGGAAGAAAAUGACGGUACCUGACUAAGAAGCCCCGGCUAACUACGUGCCAGCAGCCGCGGUAAUACGUAGGGGGCAAGCGUUAUCCGGAUUUACUGGGUGUAAAGGGAGCGUAGACGGUUUGGCAAGUCUGAAGUGAAAUGCGGGGGCUCAACUCCUGAACUGCUUUGGAAACUGUCGAACUAGAGUGCAGGAGAGGUAAGUGGAAUUCCUAGUGUAGCGGUGAAAUGCGUAGAUAUUAGGAGGAACACCAGUGGCGAAGGCGGCUUACCGGACUGUAACUGACGUUGAGGCUCGAAAGCGUGGGGAGCAAACAGGAUUAGAUACCCUGGUA